UACGUAGGGAGCAAGCGUUAUCCGGAUUUAUUGGGUGUAAAGGGUGCGUAGACGGACAUGCAAGUUGGCUGUGAAAUCCCGAGGCUCAACCUCGGAACUGCAGCCAAAACUACAUAUCUUGAGUACUGGAGGGGAAAGCGGAAUUCCUAGUGUAGCGGUGAAAUGCGUAGAUAUUAGGAAGAACACCGGUGGCGAAGGCGGCUUUCUGGACAGCAACUGACGUUGAGGCACGAAAGUGUGGGUAGCAAAC
rnacentral:rRNA from 1 species